rnacentral:tRNA from 1 species
AAGCAAGAAACUUAAAGUACUACGGUUUCGGCCCGUAUAUUGGUCUAAAGUAUGACCCUUGCUUU